AAGUCGUAACAAGGUUUCCGUAGGUGAACCUGCGGAAGGAUCAUUUAUAAAUCAAAUUUAUAUUGAUUGUUUGGAUUAGCAUUUCGCAUGCUGCCUGCAAUCUAAUAUAUAAUCCUUUGUGAACUGGGUUAACUAGCAAUAGUUAACUUCCUAGGUGUGUAAAAUUUGAAUUUUCAGGGUUUUUCCCUAAAAAUACAUAAACGUUUUUAAAUUAAAGUCUUAAUCAAAUUGGCCAUAUGGUCAAAUAAUUUAAUACAACUUUUAACAAUGGAUCUCUUGGCUCUU
rnacentral:misc_RNA from 1 species